rnacentral:pre_miRNA from 1 species
AGGAGGAACAACCCCAGUGGCGGGGCCAGCUCUGGAGCCCUGGAGUCAGCUCCCGCAGUAACUCCAGAGCUCUCCGUCUGCAGGGCCUGGAGGCUCCGGGGCGGG